rnacentral:sRNA from 1 species
GCUGGGCAGGGUGGCGCAGGCCUGUAAUCCCAGCAGCUGUGGAGGCAGAGGCAGGAGGAUCAGAAGUUCAAAGUCAGCCUCAGCAACCUGGUGAGGCCCUGAGCAACUUAGUGAGACCCUGUUUCAA